rnacentral:lncRNA from 1 species
UCUCAAAUAGAAGAGUGUCUCAACCGAAUACCACUCAUUUUCUAUCUUAAAUUAAGAACCAAAAGAUUGCAUGCAUAUGUGGCUGGGAUUGAAGAAAGGACUUAACCUCUCUAUUUUCAACAUUUUGCAUUUUUUAAGACUUCACCAAUCCAUAAGGGUCUCUUUGAAUUCCAUUAGUCUCCUUUCUCAUUUGUGUUUUCUAUCUAAAAGUAUGUUGAAGGCAUUUUUUACAUUUACAUUGGGAACCAUUUGUGGUGUCCUUAUUGCUCGAAAGGUGCACAAUCUUUUCCACUUUGAAGGCCUUCGUAGCAUUGCACCUAAAAGUGAUCUUAACAAGAAAGUUCUUGUAACCAGUUCUACGGUUGAUGAACAACGUCGACAAUGAUGGAAAAUUGAAGAUAUAGUGCAGAAUUUCAUUGAAUGAUUUUCUCUAAUGUGUAACAAUGUUGGUUUUUAGAGAUAUACUGUUUUGGAAAUAACUGUAUCUAAACGAACGUUUGAGUUAUAUAAUAAUGGUGAUUGUCAAUUAGAUGAACAUUACAUAUGUAUAUAAGUUACUUGUAUUGUGUGUAUUUAAGGUUCCCAUAUGCUUAUAGUUCUUAAAGGCCUCAGUUUAGUUUCCCCUAAAAGUGAUGUUAGCAACAAAGUUAGUUUAAACCAUUCUACGGCUGAUGAACAAAUAACUUUAAAUGUUACAGUUAAUGGGCUUUUAAUAAUAAGUUAGUGAAAAGAAUUGAAAGGUCAAUAGACAGUGGGAAAAUUAAGAGUAUUUACUAUUUAUCAUAAUUAGUAGAAUAGCUAAAGUUUGUUUUAUAUGUAUAAAGUCCAAAAUUGCAUUCCAAUAAAAUACAGAAGUUUGCAAACAGAAUCGUUUCUUCUGACAAAUUGGUAUCAGAGCUAAUGGCAAAUAUGAUGAAUCAAAUGCCGUUACCACGGCUAACGAAGUUGAAUUACGAAAACUGGAGUAUCCAGAUGAAAGCUCUUCUCGGAUCUCUAGACGCGUGGGAGGUGACCAAAAGAUGGGUUUGAAGAACCAAACAGAUGUUGAGGAAUACGGCAGCUCAAAACAAGGCGUUGAAAGAGACGCGAUCGAAGAUAAAACGGCACUUUACAUGCUGUUUAGGGUUGUUGAUGAAUCAGGCUUCGAAAAGAUUGCCGGUUCGACUACGUCGAAAGAAGCGUGGGACACACUGGGAAAGUGUUCAAAGGAGCAGAUCGAGUAAAGCAAGUUCGACUCCAAACACUUCGUGGCAAUUGGAGAGGAUGCAGAUGAAGGAGUCAGAAAAUGUAUCUGACUACAUCACGCGUGUACAAAAAGUGGUGAACCAACUCAGCAGAAAUGGCGAAACAGUAACUAUGCACGAGUUGUCGAAAAGAUUUUGAGAUCAUUUAACCAUAAAGUUUGAGAAUAAUUUGUGUGUCAAUAGAAGAGUCGAAGGGACCUUUUCGAGCUCGCCGAGUCGAAGAGCUCGCUGUUCCACUCGAAGCACAUGAACAUGACGUAAGAUGAAAAAGAAAGGAAAGAAGGAUAGAGGACGCAAUCAAACCGGAGCAAUCAAAGAACGAAAGGUACUCUUUUCUCAAAAUCUUCGAGGAAGAGAGUUGGUCGGGAGGACGUUGACAGGCGAUAGUGGUGGAUGGCAACAACUUCGACAGAGCGACAGUCGACUCUCGCAAAAUGCGUGCCAAGGAACGUGUCAAAGAGCGUGGUAGGUCGAACCAAUUCCAACUGAAUGCUACAGUGCGGGAAAGUAGGCCAUAUGCGAAAGGAUUGUAACUCAUUCAAAUGCUAUAACUGUGAUAAUGGGCUCUUGCAAAAGAUUGUCGGAAUCAUGAAAAGAAGGUAAAUAGAAACAACCAAUCUAACCUGGAAGUCUGACAGCAAAUGAAGGUUUCUCUUGAUGCGCUCAAAAUGAGAUCAACACAAAUGACAAUGUUUAACCCUUGACUCAGGAGGCAAGUAACCAUAUGUGUGGUCACAAACACCGUUUAAAGAAUGAGACAAGAUUGAAGAGCAAGUAAUCAUUCUCGGGAUGCUCGAAGUGAACCGGUCGAAUGGCAAAGGAACGAUUCGUUACCCUGCAGAAAGAAUGGGUUGAUUGGAAUAAGCAUUGAAUUUAUGGUACAAUCUUAAGACCAACAUCUUGAUUGGCGAAACUUACAGAAAAAGGUUAUUCGAUACUGAGAAAGAACGGAUACUGUAUUGAAGACAAGCUGGGACAUCGUGAUGCUCGUGUCGAAAUGCGAGAGAAAUCGAAUGUAAAACGAAUCUGAUAAAACGUCUCGAGAAAAAUGUUACAAGUAAAUGUCGAAGACAAAGCGUCACUAGGCACUACGCAUUUGGUCAUUCUACAUCAUGGCUGUUUAAGAGUGUUGCGAAAAAGAAGAACAGGUGCAUGACUACCAGAUAUGGAUUAUGAGGAGAAAGUUCGCUGAAGAAUGUGUGCUGAGUCAAACAACAAAACUUCAUUCCAAAAGAAGGCAGAAUAUCAAGCUAAGCAUAUCUUGAUCUUGAUCACAUAGCCGACCAUAUGUGGGCCAAUCACGCCAGAAAUCUUUCAUGGUCAAAAAGUACUUUAUUUUCGCUUAUCCGACGAUAACUCCAAGACAUGGGUCUAUUCUUGAAAGAAAAGUCUGCGAAGCAAUUCGAUGGUGUUCAAAAGGUUCAAAGUAAUGGUGGGAGAAGGAGACUGACAGACACAUUAAAGCAGUUCGAUCAGAUAGAGGUCGUGAGUAUACCUUCGACAACCUUUAGAAGUAUUGUGAAAGAGCAGGUAUAGAGAUUUCUAAUUGCAGCAUACUCCACCUCAAAACAAAAUGGGGGGGCUUGAAAGGAAAGAAUCGAACAGUCCUUGACAUGCGUUCGAUCAAUGCCUUAAAAGGCAAGACAUGCCAAAGGAGUUUUGGGCAGAAAGCUGUUUUUAAAAUGUCCAUUUAUGUUCAAAAUCGAUGUCCACAUUCGAAGUAGAAGAUCAUCAAACACCACAAGAAGCGUGGAGCGGACAGAAGCCAACAGUCUCUCAUCUCAAAGAUUUUGGAAGUGUUGCUUAUGCACACGUACCAGUCAACGAAGAACGAAACUUGAAGACAAAAGUCAGAAAUACAUAACUCAUUGGGUAUGAUGAGAAACAAAAGGGUACAAGCUAUUUGAUCCCAUAAAAAAGAAGGGUAGUGAGAGAGACGUUCGAAUAAAAACAAAGCAAGGUAAAGUGGGGACUGGAACAGUUCGACAGAAGCUGUUGUCGAAGUUGAAGAAUCAUCUGUCGCUGGGUUACAUCAAACAUUUGCGACCAAACUGAAAAAUUCUGACGAUGAAGAUGAACCUACACAACCCAGAAUUGCGAAGUUUGCAAGAUCUGUAUGAUUCGACAAGUGAAGUGCCACUGUAUGGCUCUUGGCAGGAUGCUGCAAAACAUCAUUUCUCUGAAGAAAAGAAGCAGUACGAGACAGAAGUGGAAAAAAGUGCAAUGCGACGAAGAGAUGAGGCGAUUAUCCACAACAACACUUGGGAGCUAGUUGAAUUGCAAAAAGGUAGUCAACCAAUUUGCCGUGUAAAGUGCGGUAUUCAAAGAAGAAAGCUGAACGCUCAAGGGAAGAAACUAGACGAUACAAAAGCGCAAGACUUUGUUGUGAAGGGCCGUACAACAGAAAGCAGGAGUGAUUAUGACGAAGUAUGUGCACCUGUUGAAGAAUGCGAGACAAAUAUCGAUACUCAUAUCUCAAGCUGCCUCAAUUCAACAUGGACAAUAUUUCAACAUGGAUGUCCAAAACAGCUUUCUGAAUGGUUGUACUUAGAAGAAGAAGUCUAUGGAUCGAACAACCACUCGGGUACAUGAAAGCUUGGAGAAGAGAAGAAUGGUAACUGAAAUUGAAGAAAGCGCUAUAUGGGCCAUGAAGCAAGCCACCGUGGGCAUGGAACACACGUAUCCGACACAUAUAUUCAAGGAGAAUGGGUUCGAGCAAUGUCCGUAACGAACAAUGCCCUCUAUUGUGAAGAAAAAAGGAAUGAAUUUAUUACUUAGUUGCUCUCUUAUGUUGAUUGAUCUUAUUUUUCUGGGCAGUAAUGAUGAGAUGAUAGAAGAAUUCAAAAGCACAAUGACACGUGAAUUCAGAUGACAGAUUUAGGGCCUGAUGAGAUUCUUUCUUGCGUCUGAAGUUCGACAAGAAAGCAAACAGGAAUCUUCAUUUCACAAGAAAAUAUGCAAAAAGAAAUCUUGAAAAGAUAUAGAUUGGAAAGCCUGUAAUCGGCUUCGACGCCAAUGAACCAGAACAAAAAAACUGCCGAAAUUUGAUGGAGCCGAGAACGCUGGUCGAAGCAGGAAAAUAUCGAAGUUUGGUAGGAAGUCUUCGCUAUCUCACAUGUACAAGGGCACCAGAUAGCUCAUUAAGUAUAGCAUUGUAAGUCUUUCAUGGAGGAGCCAGUUUAACACAUUGGAAGGGCAUUAAAGCGAAAUUCUGAGGCUACAUCCAAAGAACAGUGUCACUUGGGAUGUUUUACUCGAAGUAAAGAGAAAUACAAGUUGGUUGGUUACUCUGACAGUGAUUGGUGCGGGAGACAUAGAUGAUCAAAAAGCACUAUCUGGAUACUGUGUUUUCAUGGGAAAUACUGCAUUUACUUGGCUUUUUCUAAAAAAGCAGCCAGAUAGUAACACUUUCGACAUGUGAAGCAGCGCAUAUUAGCAGCAUCUGGUGUGUUUGUCAUGCAAUAUGGCUCAGAAGAUUGAUGAGUAAAAUGGAACCUAGAACAGGAAAGAUGCUACAAAAUACAAGUUGACAAACAGGUCAGCAAUUGAGCUUUAGCAAAGAAUCCAGUAACCCAUGAAAGGAGCAACACAUGACGUUCGUUUUUCACUUUAUUUCGAGAAACACGCUUGAAGGAAGGCAAGUGUCGAAAUUGAAAGCAUGUAGCAAGUAAGGACCAAAGCAGCUUGAUAUUUUCACAAAAAAACCACUAUCAAAGGAAAUUCUUCGACAGACGGCAAAGAAGUUGAUAGGAAUGAUGAAUGGAAGAAACAUUUAAGUUUACAGAGGAGUUUUGUUGAAUAAACUUUAAAUGUUACAGUUAAUGGGCUUUUAAUAAUAAGUUAGUGAAAAGAAUUGAAAGGUCAAUAGACAGUGGGAAAAUUAAGAGUAUUUACUAUUUAUCAUAAUUAGUAGAAUAGCUAAAGUUUG